GCCGGGAGUAGUGGCGCACUCCUGUAAUCCAGCUUCUUGGAGGCCGGGUGCAGCGGAUGUUUUUUAACAGACCUGUACCCAA
rnacentral:SRP_RNA from 1 species